GAGUUUGAUCGUGGCUCAGAUUGAACGCUGGCGGCAGGCCUAACACAUGCAAGUCGAGCGGUAGAGAGAAGCUUGCUUCUCUUGAGAGCGGCGGACGGGUGAGUAAUGCCUAGGAAUCUGCCUGGUAGUGGGGGAUAACGCUCGGAAACGGACGCUAAUACCGCAUACGUCCUACGGGAGAAAGCAGGGGACCUUCGGGCCUUGCGCUAUCAGAUGAGCCUAGGUCGGAUUAGCUAGUUGGUGAGGUAAUGGCUCACCAAGGCGACGAUCCGUAACUGGUCUGAGAGGAUGAUCAGUCACACUGGAACUGAGACACGGUCCAGACUCCUACGGGAGGCAGCAGUGGGGAAUAUUGGACAAUGGGCGAAAGCCUGAUCCAGCCAUGCCGCGUGUGUGAAGAAGGUCUUCGGGUUGUAAAGCACUUUAAGUUGGGAGGAAGGGCAGUAAAUUAAUACUUUGCUGUUUUGACGUUACCGUACAGAAUAAGCACCGGCUAACUCUGUGCA
rnacentral:rRNA from 1 species